AAACACACCUGGCACAGAGGGUAUAAAGACACCAGUUCGCUCACGCAACCUUCAGUAUAUGAACAGACGUUCUUCUAUCGUGACUUACUUGUGCAAAGCUAAGGCCUUCUUCUAGUGUCCACAAAAUGGGUCCCGCGCAGAAAAGCUACGACGUGAAGAUCUCUUCUCCCUUUGCGAAAUUCGGUCGGCGGGAGGACCGGUUCCUUCCCCUCACUCGAAAGGGGAGGUUCUUCGAGGACUCGUCCUUCUCGACGACUCACCAGCACUUCGACGACGCCAUCAGGAAGAUCUUGGACAAGUGGGACGACGACACGGACUUCGAGCUGCCGGACCGCUGGGACGACGUUAGCCAUCGUCGCAACAGUGUUCUUGAUAGGUACAGGCGACUGCGAUCUCAGGACUCGUGCGAAGAGAACCAAGCUGUUACGGUCACUUCCGAUAACACGAGUCUAAAGAUCGUGUUAGACGUCCACGAUUUCAUGGAAGGGGACAUCAAAGUGCAGGUCUUAGACGAGGAAGAGCUGCUGAUAGAAGGACAGGCGUCUUCCCACACUUUCCGACGCACCUUCACCCUGCCCCAUCAAACGGAUCUGGAUGCCAUAACGUCUUUCAUUUCUUUGGAUGGCAUCAUGACAGUCACCGUUCCCAGACUGGGAAGCGAGCCUCAACCAAGACCGACCACUAUUCCCGUCACGGUUGAGAAAUCAAAAGAAGCCUCAGAAACGCAGAAAGGCUCGUUUUCCACCUCCUCGGUAAACACAGCCGAAGAAAACGUCUCGGUGGCAAGCGAUUGUGCUCGAAAAUCUCAGAAUAUAACUUCAGAGGAGACAAUGGCCCAAAAACAAGAGGAAUUCGAAGUUCCGAUCGCCAGGUCUGAACCCGAAGAGGCCAAUAUCAAGAGAUGCGUUCGAGAUAAUCAGACUUCGAUGUCAGAGGAGACGAAGACCCAAAAACAAGAGGAAUUCCAAAUUCCAAUCGUGAUGUCUGAGCAAGAGGGAGAUUUCAAGAGGACGCAGGCAGCAGAAUCUCGUGGCUGUCAGUUUUCCGAGACGAAAGAGAAGAGAACGCUAGAGAACAAAGAAGUAAUAAUACCGAUAAUCAUAGAAGAAGGAGAGAAGACAAACCAAACACACCAGAACCAAACCGUAGAAUCAAAAAGAGAUAAUCAAGAAGCUUCCAGCACACUCGACCUAAAAACAGAAGACCAAGAUAAUUGCGCAACUUCCGGCCGACCGUCAGUGAGGUUCUCAUCUCUGAAUUCCUCAUGCGGGGAGAACACAUCCGUCUCCUCAGGUGAUAAUAGAGAAGAGGCAUAUGUCAUCCCGGUGCUUGUGGAAGCACCGACCGAGACAGUGACUCCGCAGAGCCCCAAGGCCGAGAGAGCAAGCACGAGAGCAAGCACAGCAAGCGAGCAACAGCACCACGACCGCCGCCAUCAGCACACAGCACAGCAGGACAGCGAUCCAGAGUCAGAUAACAGCCAUCGACUGAAGGCAGACAAGAAACGGACGACCUUCUCCGAGGAGGAUGAAUUCCUGCAGGACAAGCGCGUCUAUCCUUCGGGCAGUAGGUAUCUGCCUAUCACCAGGAAGGGUUUGUUUACGCAGGAUCCUUCCUUCGAGAACGUUCGGCCGAAUUUCAGCCAGGCGGUUAGAGACGUGCUGGAAAUGUCACGGGAAUGGACGGUGAAGGACAAGGCCAUGCAGAACUACCGGAAUCUACGCGACCGGAACCUCAAGUUGGAGAACCAGGCUUUUUGCGUCACCGAUGACGAGUUCACGCACAAGGUUGUGGUAGACGUGUACGACUUCACCGGCGGGGACAUAACGGUCCAGCUGGUGGACGGCAAAGAGCUCGUGGUCGAAGGUCAGGCGGAGAAGCAAGAGGACACCAGAAUAUCUCGCUUGAGCUUCAUCCGCCGUUUCCAGCUGCCUCCCUUCGUCGAAUGGGAGGCCAUCACCGUCGCCCUUUCCUCUGACGGCGUCCUCACCAUCACCUCCCCGAAGAGCAGGCUCCCUCGAGGCCCGAGUGUGAGGCCAAGGCGAUCCCCCAGCGCCAGGAGGUCGCAAGAACGCGCGAGUGACGCAGCCGAACGCAACCAGAGGGAGAAAUAUACUCGAGAACCUUCUGAAGAAUUCGAGGAUUUUGACACCAGGAAGUCUGCGCUACAUUCCUUCAUGAAUCAGUUUUAAACCAAGGCCUCGCCCCCAUACCUGCUUUUAUAUGUAUACGAAUAUGAUGUUAUAUUUUUUAUGGUAUUUUCGAAGAUAAUCGGCACUGUGAUAUGAUCUCCAUGUUUUUGUUUUUUUAUGGGUGUGACUAAGCCUUUAUGAAGUUAUCACAGUAUCAACGGCAUCAGAUUUCCAGAUGCCGAGGUUGAUGGAUAGCAAGUAAAGAAUCUCUUAUAAAAAAAAAAUAUAUAUAUAUAUAUGCAAAUCAAAUGUUUGCCAUUAACAUUCCUCCAAUAAAGCUUUUUUGUCUAAA
rnacentral:misc_RNA from 1 species